AGGGAUUUUUUUGUUGCUUCUUGUCCUGCCUGGCAGCAUUGCUCGUGUUCCUUCUUCCCAGACAGAGAAACCUGACUGACUUCCUUCUCUGGUCACUGACUAUCUGCUCAAGCUUUUCAUUUGCCUUAUUUGAUAUUUUUCACCUCCUGACAGAAUCGAGGAUGGAUGGAAAUCUUUACAGCCCAAAGAAGCAUCUCCAUAUGAAAUGAAGAAAGAAGAACUUCUGAAUGGACAGAUGAAACAGACAUGCAGAAAUAUGUCAGGAAGUAUGAAAGGGUUAACCUUGUACUCUCGGGUUCAGACUGAGAAUGUGCAGAACAUAUGGCAUGGAGGAUCUGUCCCUGUUCCCUUCUGAUGUAUUAUGCUACUGUAUGGCUUGAGUGCAGA